rnacentral:misc_RNA from 1 species
AACGCAUAUUGCGCUCUCUGGUAUUCCGGGGAGCAUGCUUGUUUGAGAACCGUUUAAACCCUUCACCCGAUCCGUCUUUAUUAUGUAAAGGAGGAGAGUGGUGGAUUUGGUUGUUUUUUGCCGGGGAUAAUAACCUAGCGAAUCGACUGAAACGCAGCGACUGGAGCCUUCCGCGUGCAACCCGGUGGAGCGUUUGGCCGAGUUUCUCUGACCGACAAGACGAGGAUAAAAUGCGAGAUUCAGUUCUCCUUUGCGAACCGUCCAAGGUCGGGAAACAAUGGUUAAACCAUACAUUUCUCCGUCAAAAGAGAGAGUAACCAGCAGGCGCACCCUCAUUUUGAGAAGAAGGUAGACGGCCCAAAUCAAACAUGCCAGGCGCGGGCGCAAAACCCCGUGAACACCUGAAAUUUUGGUCUCAAAUCAAGCAAGAAAACCCGCUGAACUUAA